AACGAACGCUGGCGGCAUGCCUAACACAUGCAAGUCGAACGAGACCUUCGGGUCUAGUGGCGCACGGGUGCGUAACGCGUGGGAACCUGCCUUUAGGUUCGGAAUAACUCAGAGAAAUUUGAGCUAAUACCGGAUGAUGUAUUCGGACCAAAGAUUUAUCGCCUUUAGAUGGGCCCGCGUUGGAUUAGCUAGUUGGUGGGGUAAAGGCCUACCAAGGCGACGAUCCAUAGCUGGUCUGAGAGGAUGAUCAGCCACACUGGGACUGAGACACGGCCCAGACUCCUACGGGAGGCAGCAGUGGUGAAUAUUGGACAAUGGGCGAAAGCCUGAUCCAGCAAUGCCGCGUGAGUGAUGAAGGCCUUAGGGUUGUAAAGCUCUUUUACCCGAGAUGAUAAUGACAGUAACGGGAGAAUAAGCUCCGGCUAACUCCGUG
rnacentral:rRNA from 1 species